CGCUUGUCUUCUCGCAACGUUAUAUUGUGAACCCCGUCAGGCCUGGAAGGGAGCAGCGGCAGCAGUGGACACGUGUGUUGGGGUCAGGCGGGCGCGA
rnacentral:SRP_RNA from 1 species